rnacentral:rRNA from 1 species
AGUUUGNUCAUGGCUCAGGACGAACGCUGGCGGCGUGCUUAACACAUGCAAGUCGAACGAUGAACCACUUCGGUGGGGAUUAGUGGCGAACGGGUGAGUAACACGUGGGCAAUCUGCCCUGCACUCUGGGACAAGCCCUGGAAACGGGGUCUAAUACCGGAUACUGACCCUCGCAGGCAUCUGCGAGGUUCGAAAGCUCCGGCGGUGCAGGAUGAGCCCGCGGCCUAUCAGCUUGUUGGUGAGGUAAUGGCUCACCAAGGCGACGACGGGUAGCCGGCCUGAGAGGGCGACCGGCCACACUGGGACUGAGACACGGCCCAGACUCCUACGGGAGGCAGCAGUGGGGAAUAUUGCACAAUGGGCGAAAGCCUGAUGCAGCGACGCCGCGUGAGGGAUGACGGCCUUCGGGUUGUAAACCUCUUUCAGCAGGGAAGAAGCGA